GACGAACGCUGGCGGCGUGCUUAACGCAUGCAAGUCGAACGGAAAGGCCCUGCUUUUGUGGGGUGCUCGAGUGGCGAACGGGUGAGUAACACGUGAGUAACCUGCCCUUGACUUUGGGAUAACUUCAGGAAACUGGGGCUAAUACCGGAUAGGAGCUCCUGCUGCAUGGUGGGGGUUGGAAAGUUUCGGCGGUUGGGGAUGGACUCGCGGCUUAUCAGCUUGUUGGUGGGGUAGUGGCUUACCAAGGCUUUGACGGGUAGCCGGCCUGAGAGGGUGACCGGCCACAUUGGGACUGAGAUACGGCCCAGACUCCUACGGGAGGCAGCAGUGGGGAAUAUUGCACAAUGGGCGGAAGCCUGAUGCAGCAACGCCGCGUGCGGGAUGACGGCCUUCGGGUUGUAAACCGCUUUCGCCUGUGACGAAGCGUGAGUGACGGUAAUGGGCAAAGAAGCACCGGCUAACUACGUG
rnacentral:rRNA from 1 species